rnacentral:rRNA from 1 species
AUUGAACGCUGGCGGCAUGCUUUACACAUGCAAGUCGAACGGCAGCGCGGGCUUCGGCCUGGCGGCGAGUGGCGAACGGGUGAGUAAUGCAUCGGAACGUGCCCAGUAGUGGGGGAUAGCCCGGCGAAAGCCGGAUUAAUACCGCAUACGACCUGAGGGUGAAAGCGGGGGACCGAAAGGCCUCGCGCUAUUGGAGCGGCCGAUGUCGGAUUAGCUAGUUGGUGGGGUAAAGGCUUACCAAGGCGACGAUCCGUAGCUGGUCUGAGAGGACGACCAGCCAACUGGGGACGAGGCAAGGGCCCAGACCCCCAGGGGGGGCAGGAGGGGGGAAUUUGGGACAAGGGGGGCAACCCGUAUCAGGCCAUGCCGGGGGGGGGAAGAAGGCCUUCGGGUUGUAAACCGCUUUUGUUGGGGAAGAAAUCCUUGGGGCUAAUACCCCGGGGGGAUGACGGUACCGGAAGAAUAAGCACCGGCUAACUACGU